ensembl:miRNA
GUUGUCUAUAUGUACCCUGUAGAACCGAAUUUGUGUGAAAUACAAACAGUCGCAAAUAGGUCUCUGCAGGAAUACAUGGGCGAC